rnacentral:rRNA from 1 species
GAUGAACGCUGGCGGCGUGCCUAAUACAUGCAAGUCGAACGAAUCUUCUUCGGAAGAUGAGUGGCGAACGGGUGAGUAAUACAUAGGUAACCUGCCCCUGUGCGGGGGAUAACAGGAGGAAACUCCUACUAAUACCGCAUAGCCAUGAGCACCGCAUGGAGCUCAUGCCAAAUAUCCUUUCGGGGAUAGCGCAGGGAUGGACCUAUGGCGCAUUAGCUGGUUGGCGGGGCAACGGCCCACCAAGGCAACGAUGCGUAGCCGGCCUGAGAGGGCGGACGGCCACAUUGGGACUGAGACACGGCCCAGACUCCUACGGGAGGCAGCAGUAGGGAAUUUUCGGCAAUGGGGGAAACCCUGACCGAGCAACGCCGCGUGAGCGAAGAAGGCCUUCGGGUCGUAAAGCUCUGUUGUAAAGGAAGAACGGCGCAUACAGGAAAUGGUAUGCGAGUGACGGUACUUUACCAGAAAGCCACGGCUAACUACGUGCCAGCCGCCGCCGUAA